AUACGUAGGGUGCAAGCGUUAAUCGGAAUUACUGGGCGUAAAGCGUGCGCAGGCGGUUUUGUAAGACAGUGGUGAAAUCCCCGGGCUCAACCUGGGAACUGCCAUUGUGAAUGCAAGGCUGGAGGGCGGCAGAGGGGGAUGGAAUUCCGCGUGUAGCAGUGAAAUGCGUAGAUAUGCGGAGGAACACCGAUGGCGAAGGCAAUCCCCUGGGCCUGCACUGACGCUCAUGCACGAAAGCGUGGGGAGCAAACAGGAUUAGAUACCCUGGUAGUCCACGCCCUAAACGAUGUCAACUGGUUGUUGGGGAUUUAUUUUCUCAGUAACGAAGCUAACGCGUGAAGUUGACCGCCUGGGGAGUACGGCCGCAAGGUUAAAACUCAAAUGAAUUGACGGGG
rnacentral:rRNA from 1 species